AAGGUCAUCCCGCUGCCUGGUGCCCGCGACGCGGGAGAAUCGGGAACACGGUUGAACUCCGUGGCGUGCCCAACGCUGUGAGGGGGACCGCGCCGGCAAACGCCACUGUCUCAGACGGGAAGGCGCCGGAGCGGGACGAUCCCGAGCCAGAAGACCGGCCCGGCAGACAUGGUCGUC
rfam:Mesorhizobium sp. SOD10 genome assembly, contig: MPLSOD_Contig_4